GGUGAGGUCCCUGGUUCAAGUCCAGGAUGGCCCA
rnacentral:tRNA from 1 species